UACAGAGGGUGCGAGCGUUGUUCGGAAUUAUUGGGCGUAAAGGGCGCGUAGGCGGUGCGGUAAGUCACCUGUGAAAUCUCCUGGCUCAACUGGGAGUCUGCAGGCGAAACUGCCGUGCUGGAGUGUGGGGAGCGUGGAAUUCCUGGUGUAGCGGUGAAAUGCGCAGAUAUCAGGAGGAACACCAGCGGCGAAGGCGGCGCUCUGGGCCGUAACUGACGCUGAGGAGCGAAAGCGUGGGGAGCGAACAGG
rnacentral:rRNA from 1 species